rnacentral:rRNA from 1 species
GACGAACGCUGGCGGCGUGCUUAACACAUGCAAGUCGAACGGAAAGGCCCUGCUUUUGUGGGGUGCUCGAGUGGCGAACGGGUGAGUAACACGUGAGUAACCUGCCCUUGACUUUGGGAUAACUUCAGGAAACUGGGGCUAAUACCGGAUAGGAGCUCCUGCUGCAUGGUGGGGGUUGGAAAGUUUCGGCGGUUGGGGAUGGACUCGCGGCUUAUCAGCUUGUUGGUGGGGUAGCGGCUUACCAAGGCUUUGACGGGUAGCCGGCCUGAGAGGGUGACCGGCCACAUUGGGACUGAGAUACGGCACAGACUCCUACGGGAGGCAGCAGUGGGGAAUAUUGCACAAUGGGCGGAAGCCUGAUGCAGCAACGCCGCGUGCGGGAUGACGGCCUUCGGGUUGUAAACCGCUUUCGCCUGUGACGAAGCGUGAGUGACGGUAAUGGGUAAAGAAGCACCGGCUAACUACGUG